UGAGGAAUAUUGGUCAAUGGGCGCGAGCCUGAACCAGCCAAGUAGCGUGAAGGAUGAAGGUCCUAUGGAUUGUAAACUUCUUUUAUAGCAGAAUAAAGUGACCCACGUGUGGGUUUUUGUAUGUAUGCCAUGAAUAAAGAUCGGCUAACUCCGUGCCAGCAGCCGCGGUAAUACGGAGGAUCCGAGCGUUAUCCGGAUUUAUUGGGUUUAAAGGGUGCGUAGGCGGAAAGAUAAGUCAGCCUGUGAAAGUUUGCGGCUCAACCGUAAAAUUGCAGGUGAUACUGUUUUUCUUGAGUGUACAUAAGGUAGGCGGAAUUCGUGGUGUAGCGGUGAAAUGCUUAGAUAUCACGAAGAACUCCGAUUGCGAAGGCAGCUUACCGGGGUACAACUGACGCUGAUGCACGAAAGUGUGGGUAUCAAACA
rnacentral:rRNA from 1 species